rnacentral:lncRNA from 1 species
GCAGAAGACGCGGCCGCCACGGCUCAGGCACACGCGGGCGCCCGGGGGCUGCGCGGCCGCGCCGCAGAAGGUGAAGGAACAGCGCGAGGCACGCAGCCGCCGCACCGUGGCGCGCACGAGCUCAGCCGGCCGGCGACCCCAGCGCGCCCACAGGUACAGGUAGCACAGCGUGAUGAGCAUGGCCGCGCCGCCGGCAGGGCGAGCCCGCCUUGCCCGCCCGCCCCAGCGCCCCAGGCCCGGCCCCGCCCCGGCCGGAAGGGCCGCGCCGCCCCCCCGGGCCAGGCGGCGCGGGGGUGGGGACGGCGGGGGAGGCGGGGACCCGGAAGGUGACGCGGGCAACUGGAGGCUGCGGCGGGAGGGGCGGGGGGGGGUGAGGCCGCGCCCGGCUGUGUGAUGGGGAGCUCCGGAGGCCGCGCCCAGGGCUGGUGGCGGCGGCGAGGGGCAGCGCUGGGGCGGGGGGUGUGCACCGGGGUCAGGGGACGCCGGGGCUGCACCCGGAGAGGGGGCUCGAGGGAGUGGAGGCCGGGGUGCGGGGCCGCGCCAGGGCUGAGGAGUGGGAUGGGUAUGUUGUGGAUGCGGGGGAGGGGAGGCUCCAGUGGCUGCCCGACCUGUUUAAGCCAAGUCCGGCCUCCCUUCCUUGGAGGGGUGGGAGGCGGAUUGAGGAGGGGGCUCUGCCUAUGUUCAUAGCUGCCAAGGCCAACCUUUACUAACCAGCAGCACACCGGGAGUCCCAGAGCGCUCCACAGCCGCUACCCAGUCGACUUGGGAAAAUAAGAUAAGGCCGUUUUUAUUAAAUUAUACUAAGCCUUCAUGCAAAAGAUUUUAAGGUCAAUCACAUACAUUCACGGGAUGCAAUAAUGUUUUUUUAAAUAAGGACAGGAAACAGAAAUUGAAGACAGAUAAGCACCAAGAAGGCUGCCUCUAAAAAGGCUGUGCCAGGAAGGCUCCCUAUGGUGUUCUUGCUACAUGUGGGUCAACAGUUUGACUGUAAGCAUCCUAACACCAGUGGGAAAAGGAAAACAUCACCAUGAUUUGGUGUUCUUGUCUCCAAGGGAAGCAUAAUUAGUCCUGACACAGAGGCUUCUCCCAUAGAACCUCAUUUCUUUAAAAGGCAUUAUGUAAAGAACGUGUUCUGAACAGCUGCGAAGCACAGCAAAGAAUUCCAUCCAGUGGCUUCCUAUUCUGGCCCUCGCUGAAAAUAGGUGGCAAGAUGCAGCAAAAGCAAUCAUGUACACCACGUCCAUGUCUUAAUCUAAGGAUAGUUUUUGUUUGUUUGUUUUUGAGACAGUCUCUCUCUGUCACCCAGGCUGGAGUGCAGUGGUGCAAUCUCGGCUCACUGCAAGCUCUGCCUCCUGGGUUCAAGCGAUUCUCCUGCCUCAGCCUCCCGAGUAGCUGGGAUUACAGGUGCCCGUCACCAUGCCUGGCUAACUUUUGUAUUUUUAGUAGAGACAGGGUUUCACCACGUUGGCCAGGGUGGUCUCGAACUCCUGACCUCAGGUGAUCCACCCGCCUCUGCCUCCCAAAGUGCUGGGAUUACAGGCGUGAACCACCGCGCCCAGCUAGGAUAGAUUUUUUUUAAGAGACAAGGUUUCGUUCUGUCGCCCAGGCUGGAGUGCCGUGGCAUAAUCACAGCUCUCUGCAGCUUCGAACUCUGAGCUGAAGUGAUCUUCCUGGCCACCAUGCCCAGCUAAUUUUUUAGAAAUUAUUUUUCAUAGAGACAGGGUCUCGCUGUGUCGCCCAGGCUGGUCUCAAACUCCUGGUCUCGAGCAGUCAAACUCCUGCCUGGAUCUCCCAAAGUGCUGGGAUUACAAGUUUGAGCCAUGGCGCCUAGCCAUAAAGAUAGAUUUUUAAAGUACCUUGGCCAUUUGUUCAUCUGCUUUAAUAUAGCUGCAUAGAACACCCACUCCCAGAACUUCAGACUUUUGGUUAGAUAACAUAGUAUAUUUUCCCCCUUGCAUAUAGCGAUAGAUUUUUAAAAGAGAGAAAAUCCAAAAAGAAAUAACUGGGCUUAAAAGCAAGCAUCUCUGUGGACCAGAAAUAGAAGAAAAACAAAGUGAUAAACAGGACUAAAGCCAUAUCCUACACUUCUCUACAGGACAGUGGCAGCCGGAAAGUGGGUUCCUGCAUGGUAACAAGACCUUAAAAUUGUGUCACUGGAGAAGGACGUGCAGUUCCCGCUGAGGAGAGACUUGGCCACUCCAGGACAACACAGGACUACAAGUCAGGAAUUUGAAGAUGAAAAGUGCUCAACAGUGAUAAAUCCUAAAUGUUUCACUGAACAACCUUUCAGA